GAUAGAGUGCUUGACAAAAAAGGCCGUCUUGAUAGGGCGGAUAAUGUGAGCAACCUCACCUCUACCA
rnacentral:tRNA from 1 species